AUGUUUGUGGUGCCGCUCUCUGUUGUUUCCCAGGCGCAGCGGUCACGGCGGGAGUGGACGUGGGCUGAAGCGCGGGCUUGGCGUGAGUGGCGGGCGGCGCAGGAGGAGGAGGUGCGGCAGAGACGAGCACACCUCACCACACUCGUCCUGCAGCUGGAGAGAAUCACGCCCACUAUCACUAGCCUGCUGCAGGAGUUUGACGGGCAGGUGAUGGCGCUGGUGGACUCUCGCGUGGCUACCGACGAGGCCCUUAUGCUGUAUCAGGUGGUGGCGUCCAGUCUGUACCGCCGCCUCGCCCGUCAAGACCACCUGCAGGAUACUCUUAAGGGUCUCCAGCAGCAACAGGCACAGGUGGAGGAGAAGGUGCAGCAGGCAACGACGGAGGAGUUCAACACGCGGCGGGAGGAGGGGAGAGCAAGGACCCGCCAGGAACGCCUACAGGAGCAACUGAAGGAGGAGGAGCUGGUGUUACGACGAGCUCUCAUCAACCUCCCCAUAGACCAGUACAAUCACCUGUUGGCCUUGUACAGCAAGAGAGUGCAGGGCGGGGGGCGGCACCUGGACCCCUCAUCAGGUAAGGGGGAAGGAGGCGGUACGUCCGGCCCUCCCACGCCCCUCCGCCUCCCCAGCUACGCCUCCCUCAGCAGCCCCUCCAGGAAUAGAACAGUCUCCCCCGCCACGCCUGAGAAGUUGAGCGCCACUGGUCGUACUUCAGCUCGUCCCUCCCGGCCCCCCAGCAGUACUUCUCACAGUGACGACCUCAGGUCUGUGGAGGAGUCCAUGCCUGAGGGGCUGGCAGGAGGCAUCAGGACCUGGCGACUCUUCCUGCGCCAUCGUCGUCGCCGUCAGGAGUUGCUGGAGGAGCAGGAUGACGCCGCCGGCAAGAGGGCCUCCGCCACCGCCCACCUUCAGGCCAUGGACACUCACAAGACGCAGCUACUGAAGGAGGCGAAGCAGCUGGAGGCGGCCAUCGAGCACACCACGAAGGAGCUGCGACAGGUGGACGAGGACGCGGAGAUGGUGCUGGUACUGCGGGGACGCCAGGUGAAGGUAGACCUGCUAGCCAUGACACAAAACCUCAGGCCGGACUUCACCAACUCCUGCCUGGUGAGAAACGAAGAACUGAGGCGCCUGGAGAACAUGGCUGAGCGGUGUGUAGAGAGUGCGGGGAAGGAAGGCACGGAGGGCGAAGGGGAAGAAGCGGAGAAAUUAAGGACACUGCGAGAACAACUACAGCUGGAGGUGGAGCUGGCAAGACAAGACCUUCAUCACAUCAACACUUUUAAGGUGGGGCGGGACGUGAUCACAGCGGCGGUAGCAGAGGGGGGCGAGCAGAAGGACCCUUCACACCUUUACGCCUCCCUGCAGCGCCUCCAGCAGGUAAGCCACGCCCCAAGGAGAGACACUCACUCCUGUCCAGUUUGGUAGUUGGUGAGUGACUACCACCGGGAAAGACUGCCCCUGUGACGGUACUCAAAAACAGGAUUCGAAACCGUGAACCAUGUGUGAGAUUGCUUCGCUCUUGUUCUCUACAGGGACAGAGGGCAGAGAGUGCCGCUGCAGCCUCUAGCAAGGUGGAGCGAGGGGUGCGGCGCUCCCGGCGAAGAGUAAAUCACUUGCAGAAACAGGUGGACGAACUGGCGCGAGAAAUUGACG
rnacentral:misc_RNA from 1 species